UGUGACCUUGAUAUUGUCCUUAACACAGAAAACGAGCAAGAACUCACCGUUCGCGGCUGCUUGAACGCUGGAAACGUGUUUGAAGGAAGUGCAUGCAGUAGUAUAACACCAGUCAGACCCAUGUCAUGCUCAAAACCACCUCAGCUACAUGAAGUCGUCAAACCUUUAGCAUGGCUACUGGGAAAAUGGCGAUCAGAGCACGGCCGAGGGAUGUACCCAACAAUGAAGAACUUCACUUAUGGAGAAGAGGUGGAGUUCUCACAUAUAGG